rnacentral:rRNA from 1 species
UACGGAGGGUGCAAACGUUGCUCGGAAUCAUUGGGCGUAAAGCGCACGUAGGCGGCUCGUUAAGUCGGAUGUGAAAGCCCUCGGCUCAACCGAGGAAGUGCAUUCGAAACUGGCGAGCUUGAAUAUGGAAGAGGGUCGCGGAAUUCCCGGUGUAGAGGUGAAAUUCGUAGAUAUCGGGAGGAACACCAGUGGCGAAGGCGGCGACCUGGGCCAAUAUUGACGCUGAGGUGCGAAAGCGUGGGGAGCAAACAGG